CUCAUGUUUUGUGUUUGGAAUAAGUUUGUGGAUGUUGCAACAGCUGUAGAUUCUUGAUUUAGUCAGUGACAUGAUUUCACUCAUUCUUCCCCAACUUCCUGAGCUCAGCAUGUCCCGCUGUUGUUCGGGAGAGAUACCGGCUCAGCUGGCUGCUUUUCCAGGCAGCACUGCUCUCCCCAGGCCUCCCCCUGCAGACACCAACUUCUGUGUGAUAAGGAGAAGUUUUCAGCUCUGAACACUCAUCAAAAACACCACUCCUCCGUGUGGUGUUGCCUGCAAAGCAGUGGGAAGAUCAAACAGCCCCUCAGGCAGCUGCUCACAUUGGUCAGUGCCUCUGAGAAGGAUGAGCCCAUCAGUGGAGCCGAGCACUGCUGUACAUCACUGGCACGGGGAGGGGGAAUGACCUUGAGCUCUUGGCCAAGUCAGUAACAGUGUCAAUCCAUUAUCUCCAGGUACUAUCCAACAAGCUGCUGCAGGCAGGGAUGGCUCUGGAGCAGUUUGUAACUGCUUCAGUUGGAAAGCACAUCUAAACUCAAUUUAGUGAAUUUAGCAACACUGGAAACCCCCACUGUUAUUAGGAGUGACAGAGCCCUGGGUCUAUGUUCCUUUACACUCUUGUAAAAAUAAGAUAAUGCCCCCUUAAGUCUGCUGUUCUUUCUGUUAUCAAAAUUUGGACAAGUCACUAGUGGGGGUUUUCUUCAUAAAUCCUCAAAAGCUGUAAAAAAGUGGCAACUUCACAGUUGCUAUGCAAACACUCCAUAACAGAGCAAAUGACAUGAUGUGGUUCCCAGCAUUUUGGCUGUUGUUUUUCCUACUAGAGUGACAAGUUAACGUUGGCUGUUUUGUUACUGAGGAGCAGGAUCGUUGUUCCAAACAGCUGUCAUUUAAAAAAAGCAAGAAUAGAAGUGAAGGAAUAAGUUCCAUGUAACCAAUGGAUUUCCCUUGCUCAUCUAUUUAAUUACUUCAUUGUGGUGAGUAUGAGGAAGAUUUUCUAUAUGACCAUAAUAAAAAACUAGCCCUUCUAUGUCAGGAAUAACACGUACUGAACUGAAGUUCAGUCCUGCUUCAGCACAAACCAAUAACCAAAUUCAGAAUAAUUUCAUCAUUAUGGGCUAAGCGAUGCAAUCCCUGGCUUAGAGUGCAAUAAAAAUCUACCAGAAGCACAGAGAAUCAGCAAAAACUAUUUUCCAAAGUCUGGAUUUCCUGUGCACAAUAAAUUGUCAGAACAUCUCAUAGCCCAAGAAGGUACAAAUUAGGUUGUUGGUUUCCAGCUGCAAGUUAUUGGUGUGGGGAAUGACAUGGAUCAACAGAGCUGCUUGUGCACAUCCAUGUUUCCAGACUUUAAAGAGCUACUGACAAGGUAAUUGUUUGAUAGAUGCAGCAUGUUAUGGGGCUGCUCUCCAAACAACACCAACAUCAAUAUUUGCUCAUAUUGUCAGCAUAUGAGCGAUCUGCCCUCAAAUUGUGUCUGAAAGCAACACGACCACAUUUUCUCAGAAAAAGUUGCAUUUGCAUGUUCAGUGGAGAAAAAUCUCUGUUGGUGAUAACACACUGUGGUCAAGCUGCUCAAAAUUGCUGAGUAACUUCUGCCAGACAAACGCUCGCUGAGCGUGUUCUGAGAACGCUGAGCACGCGCUGGGCUGGCAGAGCUGCUCAGUCUCCACAUGAACUCUGGGAACCAACUCAUUCCAACUCAACUGGGAUUCAACUUGCAUUGCCCUGAGCAACACCAGGAGUUUCCUGAAUCAGUGAAUAGGAUCAGUUGUUUUAAUUUGAACCUUUCAGAAAGCAAAUCAGAACAAACCAGUCAGGUCGAUAGCGUUGAAAAUGCCCCUUUAUGUAUUAUGAUGUUUUUGGUCUGCUUGCACUUUUCUCCAUAAUCAUAUUGUCAUAAACAUUUUCCACUGAAAGUAUAAUGUGAACAACCCUUUUACUUUUCCAAUCCAGUGAAUUUUUAGGAAGAUGAACUGAAUAACAUUUCCAUAAAUCAGAAAGCAUUAAGUGGUACCAAUGGAAGGGAACUUGUUUCAACUGGACAGAAAUUCUUCUUCUCUGUUGUGUUUUUAUGCAUUGGGGCCAUCUACAGAUGAAGUUAUAAGGCAGUUUUCAUGCAUGAGGUAAGAAAAUGGUCAAUACUAGGUUUUAAAGCAUUUUAGGAGACUUUGACCUUAGCAGUGUAUGUCUUGUAUGACCAGUAAAUUAGAAGGGAUUCCACUUUAUAUUAAUAACAAAUAUAAGUAGGCUUGAAAUGUCUCUAAAAUGCCCUUAUAAUAAAUUCCACCUCAAACAGAUUUCAUUGUGCUGCAAGUUUUCCAUCAUGUUUUUCAGCUUAUGGGUGCAUGUAAAAUAUUAUGUAUUAUCCUUUCUUUAAUGUCACUAGUGCCACACUAUUUAGGAAGUUCAUUUGGUUGUCCUGGGGUUAAAGAAAGCCUAAACUUGUACUUGACACUCUUUCUUGUUACAGGGUCCUGCUUGCUUUCUGCUCUGUAGAAAAUGGAUCAGUGUCAUUGGUCUGUCUUUCCAUUAUUGCCAUUUUCCUAUUUUUAGCAUAUUUUUCACUACUAUGCCCUAAUUCAUGUUAAAAUUCAGUGUGUCCUGUUUCCUUGACUCCAGACAUUGCUCCUUGAAGAUGCAGAUCUGCUGAAAAACAGUACUCUUUAAAAAGUAAACAGUUUCCCUUACUCUCAGACUAACAUUAAAAAACAGUCUCUCAAAAGUUCUCAAAGGAACAUGUUUAAAAAUGAAUGGGUAGACAUUUGUCUUUGUAAUGGAUAGUGUAUUUUUAGGUAGUAUAAAUUUUAUAGAAGUCAUAAAGUUUUAUGAACUUUAACAAAUGUCCUUCUCAGAAUAACUUGGGUCUUAUUGUCAGUAUGUUAUCUGGGAAAAGGCGACCAGAUCUCUUCCUAAAAGUGAGGAAUUUGCAAGUGGGAGGUUACUUAGGUUUGGGAAGAGAGUUUAAAAUCAAUCCUUUCAAUGCCUGCAGAGGCAAUGCAGCAAAACCAGUUGUGUGGCUUCAGAAUUCUUUUGGUUUUUCUCUAAAACCCAAUAAACCUCUCUGCCAGGCAGGAUUUGCCUUCUCCUGCAGGAAUUUGUCUCCCUUUCUUGGGACAAAUGUGACCUGCUCACUAGUCCCAUAAGCUACAAGUUACUUGAGCUGAACUUGAGGAAAAAAGGUCCCUGGACUUGCUGUGUCUGUGUCCCACGUGCUGGCACCCAGCCCUCAGCUGAGGACACACUGAAAUCUGCUUCCCUAUAGGCCUGAUCCUGCCUGAGCUUCAGGUGGUAAUUAAAUUCAUCAUCAUCUACACCUAUUUCCACUUAACCUCUUGAGAGGAAGAGCCACCUGAACACCAGCAGUUGCUGGAACUUGCAGGAGUGAGGCACCCACAGGGAAUAGAAGCUCUCCCAUUUCUCCAUCUCCAAAAGGCCUUCCAUCCUUCCAGAGCAACCCAGAGCCUUUCAGUGCCACACUUGUGAUGUUGGACUGGUUUGGAAUGUGCAGUCAGCAGAAGGGAAGGUGGGAGCAUGUGGGAAAACACACUCCAUCUCCCUAUGCAGAGAUAUCCCAAGUGUGCACCUCAAAGGAGGAGCAGUUCAUUGCUGGCCAAUCCCAUGACUAUUGCAUGAACACCCUCAUCAUUCUCUGCUCUUCUGGGAGAUAAACUUCCCUGGACUUCAGGAAAACUUCACUUCAGCACUUCUUAAUAUCUUCUAUCAGAGGCACAAAAAGCCCUCAAAUUAUUUAGGGAGAAAAACCUUAUCCCGCUUCAGAGACAAGAUAACCUGUGGAGGUGCAGAGCUUAGAUUGUCUUCCCAAAUGGAUACAGCAUGGGAAUGAGGAAUCAGAGGACUCAGUGAAGCAGAAAACCAAAAGUUAGUCUUCAGUGGUUGGGGAAAAUCCUGAAAGUUGGCAGAGGUGGUCUCCAGAUGAUCCAGCCCAGUUUUUCCAGGACGAGGGAGCAAAGAGCUGGCAAGUGCAGAUUCCAGUUGCUCCUGGAGUCACAGAAAAGGGAAGAGGAAACACCGUGAUGAGGGGAUAUAAACCCACGUGCAGGGACAUGAAGCAGAGGACCUGCUUGGACUGUGACCACUGACAACCUCUCAGCUACACGAGGAGUUCAAGGAGUGCACCACAGUUUGUCAGUGGCUCCCGUGUACCUCUUGCUGCCCUCCUGUCUGAAUGUCACCUUCCCAACUCUUCUGUGUGGUCAGAGCACAGGAGCCGGACUUUGGGAUGAAUCCAGCAUGAGAAAGGUGCUCCACAAGGACAAUUCCUGUGCUCCAGCCAGACCAGAUUGGAAAACCCAACCAGGUGUGCAAUAGGGAUGUGGGGCCCCGACGACCAGCUGGAGAUCUGCUCCUAUUUGGCUUUCCCAUUACUUUCCAAUGUAGAUGGAGCCAUGUGACACCCAGAGUCCCUCAGCAGCAACACACCAGUUAUGGAAAAGACUCCAAAACAUCACCAAAAAGAGGACUGGGCAAUACUGUGAAUUUCAAGUCUUUGAUGAACCAUCAUUCCAGUAACCCUGCCAGAUACAGAUACCACUGGUCUUAACUAGCACAGCCAGAGAUGAAGUUGCCAAGAACUCUGGAAAAAAAAGGGAGGAAAACAAAGUCAGCCGACUGCAUGCCAAGGAGGAGGCAGAAAAACAGGUACCUCUGGAGCCCUCUCCACAUGAUGCUAUGGAGGGAACUUUUACCCUGUGGAGAAACACCAGAGUUUUAAUUCCCUAUGGAGAAAGCCAAAAGAAGCAGCUUCGACUCAACGCCCAGCCUUUAGAUGCCUAAACUGAGCCACAGGGCAGCCUGGCUGUUGCCAGGGAUAUGGUAAAUGCAUGUGACACCGGGCCACCACCAACAAUCGAGCGAGUCACACUCAUUCCUGGUGUAACGGCGCUGAAAUCGGCACAGCCAGGCUGGGAGCUGCACAGCCCAGCUAUGAACCUGGAUAAAGAGUUUUCUUUAAGGAAAGUGCUCUUCAAAAUAGCUUUUGGGGAGAAAUAAUGUGCAGGUUUUACUUGUAAAAUGGCUGUUGGCAAAGGAUUUGUUGCCAAACUCCAGUCAGAGCACUAGUGAGAGGUGGUAAACAUGCCAUUCUGACAAGGAAUUAGCAGGCAACGUAGCACUGGGGAAAAUAUUACGACUUUCUUCUUCCCUGACCUGGAAGAGCCUGUUAGGAGAUUAGGAAUCUCCAUCUCUCAAAGGUAUAGCUGUUUUACCAAAAUUUAAUUAAUGAAGAAUAAUAUUUUGGGAACAAGAGAAAAACACCUCUGUAGGAUGUGGAGUGUUAGGAAUACAUGGAAAGUUGCCUGUAUAAACAGUUCAGCAACUCUGGGAUAAAUUAUAGGAGCAUUUGUAUGCAUGAUUGCCCAUCUGUGUAAAACAAGACGUGCAGCCACAGACAGGAAUGAUGUGCAAGGCAGACGUGGGGCUGAUGUUAACUUGAUCCAGAACAGAAGAUCUGUCCCAUCACAUCUGAGUUUGACCCAAGGAAGUUUAGAUAAAUCUAAAUAAGUAAAUAAAUAGAGGAAGAGGCCUCAGUGAGAGGAAACUCAAGGUAUGCUAUCCACGAAUCUGUUUCUGGGUUUGGGGUUUAUUUAGACUCAAGUCAGAUUUUGGACUGUUAUUUCUCCACUUGAAGGUUUUUUGGCAGUUGCAGGAGGGCCGAAGGCUCAGAUCCAGUGUGUUCCUUCCAGCUGCAGGCCCAGCACAGGCCACGGGCACUGGCAGGGGUGUGGUGAGCUGGAGGGCUUCAAACCAGGGAUGCUGUCAAGAACUCUGCCUUCCACAGCUCCCCUCUCAAGCACCAGCUGCAAAAUGUCAACACCACCUUCCUCAGAGAACACAAUUAAUUAAACCAGGCUUAAUUAAUUAGUGUCAGUAAAGCAGAUGUAGCAGUUAUGGUGGAAGUAAACAAAUGUACGUAUUGUAAAUUAUCAUCUUCUCUGCAAAGGAUUUGGUCUGAAAUCCCUGUGGCCAUCUCACUCCUCCCCACAAUGCUAUUGGGGAGGCCUCUGGGAAACAUGCAGAGAUAAACUGCUAAUUGAUGAGGAACUAAUAUACUUCUAUAGGUUUAUAUCUCAGAAAAACAAUCAGCAAAUAGAUUUGUUUAUUAACCCCUUUGGACUUGAUGGUGAAAUACAAUCCUGAUAUUUAAUUUCCAUAUCAUGCAACAUCAUGUACCACAAAUAGGUCAAUUGUUUAAAGUCUUGGGAGUUUUAUUUGAAAUGUUUUACAGUUGAAAAUCCAACUGAGGCUUUUGUAUCAUCUACCAGUGCUGUUCUUUGAUAGAGCAGGAGAAAAAGUGUUUCAUAUACAGAUAAUAAUCAACUGUGUAUCUUGGUCUGAGUGUGUGCUCACUGGAGCAGAUUUUGGCCUGAUUUUGCCCUACUGAGAGUGAGGAAAAAUGAUGCUAAACUUGGGUUGGUUACACUGAAUGUAGCCUGAUGUGAGUAAGGGAGAGCAUCAUAACCCCACUGACCCAAUAUACACCUCCCCUGGGGCAAAAGGGACACCUUUUAUAACAUCAGUAGGUGCUGAGGCAAUGACAGCAUUCAUCCCUGCAUUGGAGGUUGAGAUCAAGGGAAAGAAAAGGGGAAAAAAAUUGGUGGGGUAAUGAAACACCAGUAACUAGUGAUUGUGAAGGUAUUUGUUAUAUGUGUCUGUGCAGUUGGUGUUCUGUAAAGCUGAAUGUGAGUGUGAAAAAGCAGACAUGGAGCCACUCCAGUCUGGAGCCUUUAGAAGGAAAGUGAAGUAAAUCUCUCGUGCCCUGUAGAUAUGAGGACAAUGCAAACUCAAUAUAACGGGCACUGUAAUAGUGAAGCACACUUGGAAAAUGCAGAUAGAGAAGGCAUACUUUACUAGGGUACAGUCAUCUCCCUAAUUCAUGCUGUAAAGAAGCCACGAAGGGGGAAAAAUUCCCCCUUUCCUUGGUGAUGACUCAAUGGAUUAAUGUAGGCAGCAGCCUAUGGCCAGGGUGCUGUGAGGGGUAAGUUGCAGUCAGAGGCCACUGCUCUUCCUGCCACUUAGCCUGUGUGAUUCCCCUUCCCCCCCCCCGGGAUACUGAUAUCAAUUUGUGGAAACAGAAGUUUCCAUGGCCCAUGCCAAGGUCUCCCCUUUCUUUCUUCAGCUGACAGCAAUUCCUGUGCACAGGACUGCCCAGUGCCGGGCUGUGUGUGCCGGACGCUGCUGCAGGGUACGGGCUGUGCCCACCGGGGACUGCAGGGGAGUGCAGGGCCCUGCCGGCACCUCUGUGGGCUUCCAGUGUGGUGUUUCCUGCUUUGGGCUUGGGGUGCUUCUCGUCCUUCCGUGUGUCCGUCUGUUCAUCUGUCUGCCUGUGUGUCUGUCCGUCUGUCUAUCCAUGUGUCCGUCCGUCUGUCUGCCUGUGUGUCUGUCCGUCUGUCUAUCCAUGUGUCCGUCUGUCUCUGUCUGCCUGUGUGUCUGUCUGUCUGCCUAUCCAUGUGUCCGUCUGUCUGUCCUUGUGUCUAUUCGUCCGUGUGUCUAUCCGUCCAUAUAUCCAUGUGUCCAUCCGUCCAUGUGUCCAUCUGUUCGUCUGUCUGUCCUUGUGUCUGUCCGUCUGUCUAUCCAUGUGUCCAUCCAUCUGUCUGUCCUUGUGUCUAUUCGUCCGUGUGUCCGUCCAUCCACAUGUCCUUGUCUGUCCGUCCAUGUGUCCAUCCAUGUUUCCGUCUAUUUAUGUGUCCGUCUGUGAGUCUGUCUAUCCAUCCAUGUCUAUCCUUUUGUCCGUGUGUCCGUCUGCAUGUCCAUCCAUCCGCCUGUCCGUCUCUCCGUCCAUCCAUCUGUCUGUCCAUCCAUCUGUCCGUGUGUCCGUUCAUCCCUCUGUCCAUCUGUGUGUCCAUCCCUCUGUCUGUCCGUCUACGUGUCUGUCUGUCCAUCCGUCCAUGUGUCUGUCUGUCGGUGUGCCCGUUGGUGUGUCCAUCCAUGUGUCUGUCCGUUUGUCCGUGUAUCCGUUCAUCCGUGUGUCUGUCUGUCCAUGUGUCCAUCCAUCUGUCCGUCCAUAUGUCUGUCCAUCCAUCCAUCCAUGUGUCCAUCUGUCCGUCCGUCUCUGUCCGUCUGUCCUUCUGUGUGUCUGUCCGUCUGUCUGUGCAUCUGUCUGUGUCUGUCUCUCUGUCUUUGUGUCUGUUUGUCCGCGUGUCCAUCUGUGUGUCCGUGCGUCUGUGUCUGUGAGUCCAUCUGUCUUUCCAUCUCUGUCCGUCUAUGUGUCUGUCCGUCUCUCUGUCCAUCUGUGUCUCUGUCCAUCUCUUUGUGUGUCUGCCUGUCUUUCUGUCUGUUCAUGUGUCUGUCCGUCUCUGUGUGUCUGCCUGUCUUUGUGUCUGUGUGUCUCUGUCUGUCCAUCUUUGUGUGUGUCUGUCCUUCUGUCCAUGUGCCUCUUUGUGUCUGUGUGUCCAUCUGUCUCUCUGUCCGUCUGUCUCUGUGUCUCUGCCUGCCUUUGUGUCACUCUCUCUGUCCAUCUGGCCGUGUGUCAUGUCUCAAAAUAACGUUUCAUAUCCCCCUUUUUAAUUCUCUCAGAGUCUGAAUUCUCCCCUUUUAAAUCGCACACAGGGCUUUUGUUCUUGUUCUUCUCUCUCAUUUAAAAAAUUACUUUUUUUUUGCUCUUUUAGUGCAUCUUAGAGAGGCUUUACAAGACAGCUUUGCCAGCAGCCAGCUACACUGAGCUUUCUGGGAUCUGAGCACCUACCCAGGCAAUGGUAACUUUGCAUUUAAUCGUCAGUGACAGGUUUUACACGAACACAAAAUACAAGUAAUUCUCAGGAACUUAAUGCACUAAAAGCUAACCAGCUCUCUCCUUUUUUUGUAACCUUGUUUUAUAUUCUGGAUAACACUUAAAAGUGUGGGGGGGGGAGCCCAGUUGAAUGCAAUUGAGGCAGUUGAAUGCAAAGCUCUGAUAACAAGUAACUAAACAUGUAACUAAGCAAUACGAUCUUCAGAAGUCACUGGUCAGAUCGUAUGACCUCCACUUACACAGGAAUUUCUGAGAGCGAGUCCAGCACGUUAGUGUGUUACAGAGUCCGAGUACUUCUGCAGACCUUGUAUCAGUAGAUGCCCACAGGCAUCACCUCUCCUGCCUCUUCCCAUUUGCCAGUCCUCAUGCUGUACCCAUGCCACGCUGGCAGUGCCUUUCCAAAUCUCCGCUCUUUUUCAGCAGUCAGUGAAUGAGAAGCCAAAAGCCAGCGGGCUGAAAUGUGGAGGCCCAGCAGGGUGCUGUGGCUGCAGCCUUUGCUACCUGCCUGCAGGAAGCUGAACAGGUUCCAUCCUCCUGUCCUGUACGUUAACUGGCCCGGCCUCUCCAAGGAGAGGCAGCAGCAUUGAUUUACUGCACUGUAUAAAUGUGUUUAUGGCUUGGCACGAGCACACUUACACUCGCUAUUUUCCAACGUGGAUUUCCAAUAAGCCCCUUGCUCAAAUGAGUCUAUUAAAUUUAGAGUGCCUGAAGCUAAAACUGAAUUCUGAGAGGUAGCUUUGGGGGUUAAAGCCCAAAACAGCUGGGAAAGGCUCCUGGAGCCUUCUGUUAGUGCCCGUUGGGGUUGAUAUUUAUAUUGAGCAAAAAUAAUUGAAGAAGUUAAAGCAACCCUGGCAGAACACAUCGCCUCAGCCUGAGCUGCCUUUUUAUUCAGCUGGCACUCAGACACACUCGAUUCCACAGGGUUAUUAGAGCAGCUCCUGAAUUAAGCCAAUGUGAAAUCAGAAUAUGACCCAUUCCUUUCUCUCCUUAUGGACUUAAUUUGCAGUAGUCCCAUUUCCCUGUUUCUGCAGUGGGGUACAAGAGCCGGGGGAGAAGCCCAUCCAACCGUGGUCCCUCCCUCAUGGGUGUGUUUUGGUCUCUGGUGUUCUGCGGGGCUGGGAUGCAGUUCCCUCCCCUCUCCCAGCCUGGAGCUGUCCUUGGAGCCUGUCAGUGCUGCCCUGCUCACUGCUGUGACACUGUCAUGUGUAACAGCAAUUACCAUCUCUGCAGGGACAGGAAAUGGAGCAGAAAGUUUUAGAGGACCCCUAAGUACAAUCCAUAAUUACCUAUGCCUGCUCAAGAUUAUGUCUCUCCAGCUAAGGAAUAAGGCUGAUUUCUAGUUGCUAGUAGUUGGGCUUUAUUUGGAAUAAAAAAGGAAUGCCUUACUACCCAUGGAGGACAAAAACCAGAUUUGUAGAGAAUGGGAUUAAAUUAAAGAAAGUAGAGUUUAGGAUGAACUCUAGGGGUAAAAAUCUAGAGUAAAUCUACUGAACUGUGGAAUGAUCUCAAGUGAACAAUGGAGCCUCACAGUGUGAAGAAAUAAAAUGAUAUCUGCCAAAGCCUUGGGAAGGCAAUGUCUGGGGAGGCAGCAUGACCUGGCUGUGGCAGUGCAGGAAUUGUGGGUAUUGGGAUUGUACAUUGUACAUCCACUGAACCUACACUUGUCCUGUAUUAAAGUCUGUGUGUAUUUCUCAGGCAGGUACGACCUGCAUAGCUUUAAAUCCUGCCUCCAUUUAAACUAAUCGGAAUCGUACAGGCUAACUGAACAGGGAGCCAUCAGAGCACACCAGUGACUCUGGCUGUCCCACCCUCAGCACAUGAUGCCUUAAAAAUUCUUCAGACCUACAUGAGUUAGAACGUGGUUAUUACUGGAUAUUUCUGCUUAAGAAGUCUCCUCUUGGUUUUACAAUUAUCUGUAGCAUUCAGCUCUAGUACGUACGGGUAGAAAAGAAGACACAAACCAAAAGCAUUUCUCUCAUUUGCUGGAAGGAGAGAAAAAUACAACCAGACUUGCUACAGAAUUAGAACUAAGUAGAAUUACUUUGCUUUUUUUUUCCCAUGGAGUUUGUUCAGUUUCUGGCAGAUAACAAGGAAGCAUCUCCUGAUCUGUAGCUGCCUAGGGAAUCCCUUUUCUAGAGGAAAGAGAAGUUGAGGAGGAAGAAGGUUGGUGGGCUGAGUCCUGAACCUGACCUAGAGCUGUGCCAACAAAUCCAUGUGCUGUGUGUGAGUGCCCUGGGGAACAGGACCCUUGUAGCUUCAAACACCACAAUACAAAUGCCUGGUCUGUUGUGCUCGUGGGUGUGUUGGAUAAAAUACUUGGAGGAUAAAAUACAACACUUUUCCAUGAUGGAGACUCCAGUCCCAACCAAGAGAGCACAACCACACCAGUGUAACACUCCUCCUGCAGACACACCACCACCCAGGUAAGAGUUCAUCUGACUGAAAUAUCCCUGAGGCAGCUGACAAGAAACCUUGAACUGCUUGAAUACAAAACCAGCUGCCUGCGUUCACUGUGGGGUGACCCUCUGCUCCAGCUCUCUGGAGCAGCGAGGCCGAGCAGUCCCAGGGCAGGCGGGAGACUCCGGAGUGCCGCCAGGCUGAUGGAGACCGGCGUUUGUCCGAGGAUUAUCCUCACAUUUUCGCUUGUUCUGUGUGGGUGGGGACUUGAUGACAAUUCCCUGAAAUUUCAAUUUGGAAGAAAGAACUUCACGUUUGACCUUUUCUCUCCAGCGCCGUGUCUGCCUGCCUUGCCCACAGGCUUCAGAUGGGUCCUGUUCCCUUCGGUUUAAGGUCCAGAUGAGUGAAAUGAGGAGAUCCCAUGUCGGCUGCAUGAGUGUUCCUGCCACUGCCCGUGGCUGGAGUUGCCUGAUGCCAUGAGUUUUCUGUGUCAUGGACCAUCGUGAGAGAAAACCAUGUGCUGAGGGAGAAACCCAGCAGUGAAGGAGUAAAUAGCUGCUCUGAAGAUCAGCUUAUUAAGAGGCGGACAUCUGAAUGAAGUGAGGUUCCUGGGGAGUCUGUGGCACCAGACAUGCCAAAAAGGGAGGCAUGAAACCCUGUUAUGUGCCAUGACCAAGCAAAAGGCGUUUUUACCUAGACAGGAUUGGUGGUUAAUAUUCUGCUCCUGUGCUGUGCUCACUGAAGCCCCGGAGUGCUUUUGUUCAUGAUCUGGGUCUUGUGCAGCACAUUUACAUGUGACCAACUGUUGGAGUGGCUCAGUCACCUUGGUACAGAACAGGGCUCAGCUGAAAUGCCAAAGGCACGAGCUUCGUUUGGGACGUGAGGAAAAACCAAACAAAAAUAUCACAACUUUUUUUUUCUUUUUCUUUUUUUCUUUGAUAAAAGCCUUAACAACAGCUUCCUUAUUCAACAGGAUGGUGUGUCGUAUGGUUACAUCACAUCUGGUCAAAAGCCUAAAGAUGAUUUAGCUUUUAACUAACUUUUUUUACUUUUAAUUGAGUUUGUUAGGCGUAAAUAGCUGAAUGACACAGCAUUUGUUUAACUCAGUAUAUUCACAGCUUAAUUAAAUAAUUCACAUGCCAGUCUCUAAUCGUGACGUGAAAAGACCAAAAACCAAAUUAAAUAAUCAUAGCUCCCUGAGCCAAUUGCUUGGAAAAGAGGAGCAGGGUCUGUUGAGACAUAUGGCAAACAAUCUUUGCUGCAAAUCAGCAAGCUAAAACACACCACUACUACCAUGUGGUAAGAGUAUAUAUCCUUUUGCACAAUAUAUUUUCCAAACACACUCUCGCCAGGAGCAGCAGGUGUGUAACUGAACUUGGGCUUGAACAGAUAAUUUGAGUAUUAUGAAUUGGAAGGAAAGGGAGGAAGCUGGGAAAGGGGAUGAAAUAUUGUAAAUUAAAAUUGCAAUUUCCCUUACAGCUUUUUUAAUUGUUAAGUUAUAAGUUGGGAAUUUGUGAAAUGUGACAAAUAAGGAAGUAAUUGAGAAUGCCUGCUGCACUGAGAUCUGUCUCUGCCAACAUAUGCGUUCUCUGCUGUGGUGCUGUGGUAAUCCUGGUGUGGCACGGGCAGGACGAAGGAGGCGUGCGGGGGAAUAUCCACUGGAGCCAGAACGGCAGGGCCUCGAAAAUUCCAUAUGAGGAUCCCAGAGUAGAGUAAGACACCAUCAGGAGAUUGGAACCUGUGCCAGCCUGCAGAGGCCUGUCCUCCAGCUGAGAACAGCUCAAGUGCAACGUGUGCUGGCCACGUGUCCUCCUGUGCCUUGUUCAUUUUUCCUUUGGGGUGAAAAGACAUGGGAAGAACCUGCCACCUCUGCCAGCUGUGCCAGAAAACUUCUUUCCUGAAGAAGUUGUGUGUGAUUGAUCUCUGAAGCAACUGCUGAGUUACAAUCCCACAAAAAACACGGAAUUGCUGUCUGCUCGUGUUCUCUGGUAGUGAUUUUUUACCAGGAUUCUGUACCUGGCAACAGUACCUCAGCCCAUCUCUGCAUGAAUCCGGUCCAGCUCUGAAUGUCUUGAACAUUAAGCACACAGAAAGAUUGCUUAGAUGUUUAGGAUUUCUCUUACAAAGCAGAUGAUACAGAUGCUCAGGAAGAUUCAGUGAAAUGGUAGUGUAAUGAUAAAGAUUUGAUUGUGCUAGUCCACCAGUUUGUGAACUUUAAGGAAGAUACAUCAGAAAUCACAGCUUGGGAUUUCUUCCCUACAGAUUAUUUUAAACUGUGCCAUAAGCAGACGGAAGAUCUCCAGCAACAUAACUUUGUAGUAAGAAAAUGCCUUCAAGCUGUCCCAGAAGACAAGGGCUUUACACAGAGAUGUGUCCCCAAUGUACAGAUCCAUGGGGUUCAUGCCAAGAACAUGGAAAAAUCCUUCUACUACUGCCCUGCUGGCCACCUGGGAGUACAGAAAGCAAGCAACCAGCUUAUACAACUGCAAAAUCUACUUAAAAGAAGGGAUUAUCAUGUUCCUUCCUCUCUGGGGAAAGGGAGAAAGCCUGACCAGGAAAACAUGACUGAUAGUAAAUGUUUUGGGGUUUUUUUUAAAUAAUUAAAUAUCUUACAUUCCCAUAAUCACUGCAUUGUUUUAUGAUCUCAGAGGUAACAUUCAGAAAUCAUGACUGAUAGGAAAUGGUAAAAAGUUAUCAAAUCUGUUACAUUCCCAGAAUCACUGCACUUUUUUAUAAUCUCACAGAUUGAUAACAUUCAGAAAUCAUGACUGAGAGUAAAUGAUAUAAAAAAAAAUGCAGUGAUUCUGGGAAUGUAAGGGAUUUAAUAAUUUUUUAAUCUCACAGAUACCAUUCAGAAAUCAUGACUGAUAGUAAAUGGUUUUUUUUAGAAAUGAUUAAAUCUGUUACAUUCCCAGAAUUUUUUAAUCUCACAGAAACAUUCAGAAAUCAUGACUGAUACUAAGUGAUAAAAGAUGAUUAAAUCUGUUACAUUCCCUGAAUCACUGCAUUUUUUUAUAAUCUCACAGAUUAUGUUCAGAAAUCAUGACUGAUAAUAAAUGGGGUUUUAAAAAAAAAAUGUUUAAAUCUGUUACAUUCCUGUAAUCAUUGCAUUUUUUUUUAUACUCUCACAGGUAACAUUCAGAAUUCAUGACUGAUAGUAAAUGAUAAAAGAUGAUUAAAUCUGUUCCAUUCCCAUAAUCACUACAUUUUUUCAUCAUUUCUCAGGUAACAUUCAGAAAUCACGGCUGAUAGUAAAUGUAUUUUUUUUAAAUGAUCUGUUACAUUCCCAUAAUCACUGCAUUUUUUUAGGAUCUCACAGAUACCAUUCAGAAAUCAUCACUGAUAGGAAAUAAUAAAAAACUAUUAAAUCUGUUACAUUCCCCCAAUCACUGCUUUUAUUUUCUGUAAUCUCACAGAUACCACUCAGAAAUCAUGACUGAUAGUAAAUGCUUUCUUGAAGAAAAGAUGAAAUCUUUUACAUUUCUGUAAUCCCUGUGUUUUUUUAAGAUUACAUCCAUAUAUGUUUAAUCUAUGAACACUAAACACAUCUUGCAGUAGUUUAAAAACAGUUCUGUUGAGACUUGCUGCAGUUUUUAAUAUAACUGUAGAUACCUAAUCUAGUGUCAUUUCUGUGUCACGUUGAUGGUGCUCGAAGAGCCUCUGGCACUUUUCUGAAAAGGCACCUACUUGGGUUUAAAAUGAGUAUAUUUGAGGUCAUUAGGAAAGGAAAUUUCCAGCACUAAUUCUGCCCUACCACAGGUUUUAGCAGAAAGAACAAACCAAAGAACAAAAGGAAACCCAACAACUGUGUUUGAUGAAUCCAUGUGCAGUAUUUUUGUUACAAUGAAAUAAAACACCAGACACCUUGAA